rnacentral:rRNA from 1 species
ACCGGCGGCUCGAGUGGUAACCGUUAUUAUUGGGUCUAAAGGGUCUGUAGCCGGCCGGAUAAGUCUCUUGAGAAAUCCAGCAGCUCAACUGUUGGGCUUUCAGGGGAUACUGUUUGGCUUGAGUCGGGGAGAGGUAAGGGGUACUUCUGGGGUAGGGGUGAAAUGAGUAGAUAUCAGGAGGAACGACAGUGGCGUAGGCGGCUGACUGGGCAUAUACUGACGCUGAGACGCGAAAGCGUUGGUAGCAAACAG